rnacentral:rRNA from 1 species
UACGGGAGGCAGCAGUGGGGAAUAUUGCACAAUGGGCGAAAGCCUGAUGCAGCCAUGCCGCGUGUAUGAAGAAGGCCUUCGGGUUGUAAAGUACUUUCAGUUGUGAGGAAGGUUGCGUAGUUAAUAGCUNCNUAGCUUGACGUUAGCAACAGAAGAAGCACCG